rnacentral:rRNA from 1 species
UACGGAGGGAGCUAGCGUUGUUCGGAAUUACUGGGCGUAAAGCGCACGUAGGCGGCUUUGUAAGUUAGAGGUGAAAGCCUGGAGCUCAACUCCAGAACUGCCUUUGAUACUGCAUGGCUUGAAUCCAAGAGAGGUGAGUGGAAUUCCGAGUGUAGAGGUGAAAUUCGUAGAUAUUCGGAAGAACACCAGUGGCGAAGGCGGCUCACUGGCUUGGUAUUGACGCUGAGGUGCGAAAGCGUGGGGAGCAAAC